AUGGGAGAUGUAGGAGUAAUGCAGCGGAGGUAUUAUAGCAACAAAAAUAUAAGAAACAACAAGGCAAGCAAAAACACAAUAAGGAUAAUAUCACAGCAAAGACAAGGGCAUAGUUGUGGACAAUAUAAGAGUAAAGCAAGGGCAAGGUUAAGUAGAGACAACGCAAGUAAAGUAAGGUCAAGGAUAAGUAGAGACAAGGCAAAAACAAGGUUAUGCAGAGGCAACCAAAAUCGAUUGCUCUGAUUCCAU
rnacentral:lncRNA from 1 species